rnacentral:ncRNA from 1 species
GAGAGCCGUGUGCAUUGAGAGGUGCAAGCACGGUUCGGGGGCGAGUACUUGCAAACCUGCCAUAGUGAUAUGGUAAGGCGGUGGGUACUUAACCUAC